UACGGAGGGUGCAAGCGUUAUCCGGAUUUAUUGGGUUUAAAGGGUGCGUAGGUGGGCAGGUAAGUCAGUGGUGAAAUCUCUGGGCUUAACUCAGAAACUGCCAUUGAUACUAUCUGUCUUGAAUACCGUGGAGGUCAGCGGAAUAUGUCAUGUAGCGGUGAAAUGCUUAGAUAUGACAUAGAACACCAAUUGCGAAGGCAGCUCGUUACACGAAUAUUGACUCUGAGGCACGAAAGCGUGGGGAUCAAACAGG
rnacentral:rRNA from 1 species